GAAGCUGAGUAAGGGCACACGGAGGAUGCCUAGGCGGCGGGAGCCGAAGAAGGACGUGCUAAGCUGCGAAAAGCCCGGAGGAGGUGCACAGGACCUGUGAUGCCGGGAUAUCCGAAUGGGAGAACCUGCAUACCUGGAGGGUAUGCGCGAGAGAGGUAAGCCGGCGAACUGAAACAUCUAAGUAGCCGGAGGAGAAGAAAGUAAAAACGAUUCCCUGAGUAGCGGCGAGCGAACGGGGAGGAGCCUAAACCGUAUAUGUGUUAAAGCUGGCGGCGUUGCAUAUACGGGGUAGAGGGAACAUACUGGACUGAUGCCAUAAGGUCGAGUUGGUCAUGAUGUAAGCGGAACGCGGCUGGAAAGCCGGACCGUAGGAGGUGAGAGUCCUGUAUAGCGUAAAGUCAUGACGGCUUGUAUGUAAUCCCGAGUAGCAUCGGACACGAGGAAUCCGGUGUGAAUCAGCGUGGACCAUAUCACGUAAGGCUAAAUACUUCCGCCGACCGAUAGAGGAGAGUACCGUGAGGGAAAGGUGAAAAGAACCCUGAGCAAGGGAGUGAAAUAGAAUUUGAAACCGUGUGCUUACAAGCGGUAGGAGCCCUUAGGGGUGACUGCGUGGAUUUUGGUUAAUCAUCCUGCGAGUUAUGAUGUGUGGCGAGGUUAAGUGUAAGCGGAGCCGAAGGGAAACCGAGUCUUAAUAGGGCGACGAGUCGCAUGUCAUAGACGCGAAACCUAGUGAUCUAGGCCUGUCCAGGUUGAAGCUGAGGUAAGACUCAGUGGAGGGCCGAACUCACCGCCGUUGAAAAGUUGGGAGAUGAGAUAGGUCUAGGGGUGAAAAGCCAAUCGAACUAGGAGAUAGCUCGUUCUCUCCGAAAUGCAUUUAGGUGCAGCCUUGGUUGAAGAUAUGCGGGGGUAGAGCACUGUAUGGCCUAGGGGGCGUAUAGCUUACCGAAGUCAAGCAAACUGCGAAUACCGUAUAUUGUUUACCAGGAGUGAGUCUACGGAUGACAAGGUCCGUGGACGAGAGGGGAACAGCCCGGACCGCCGGCUAAGGUCCCAAAUCAUGUCUAAGUGGGAAAGGAGGUGGAUAUUCACAGACAACCAGGAGGUUGGCUUAGAAGCAGCCAUACCUUGAAAGAGUGCGUAAUAGCUCACUGGUCGAGAGUAUCUGCGCCGAAGAUAUAACGGGGCUAAGACAUGAACCGAAGCCGCGGAAGCGUGAUAACACGUUUGGUAGGAGAGCGUUCUGUAGGCCGUAGAAGGUGUCCUGUAAGGGAUGUUGGAGGUAUCAGAAGUGAGAAUGCAGGAAUGAGUAGCGAGAAGGAGGGCGAGAAUCCCUCCGGCCGGAAGUCCAAGGUUUCCAGGGGAAGGUUUGUCCGCCCUGGGGGAGUCGGGACCUAAGCAUAAGCAGAGCUGCGAAGGCGAAUGGAAAACAGGUUAAUAUUCCUGUACCGCUGUGUACUGACUGAGAGAUGGAGUGACGCAGGAAGGUAUGCGGGAAGGCUGACGGAAUAGCCUUUCUAAGGGUGAAGCGUGGACAUAUAGGCAAAUCCGUAUGUUUAAACGUGAGGCCUGACGGGUAAGUGCCAUAGGGCAUAAGCCGCAGAUCCUACACUGCCGGGAAAAACUUCUAUUUAGGGAAGCAGCGCCCGUACUGUAAACCGACACAGGUGGACAGAGUGAGAAACUUAAGGCCGACAGGACAACUCUGGCUAAGGAACUCUGCAAAAUGGCCCCGUAACUUAGGGAGAAGGGGUGCCCGUGCUACCUGAAGGGGGAGACACCCGGAGGGGAAGCGGGCCGCAGUGAAGAGUCCCAAGCAACUGUUUACCAAAAACACAGGUCUAUGCUAAGCCGGAAGGCGACGUAUAUGGGCUGACACCUGCCCAGUGCCGGAAGGUUAAGAGGAGGAUUGAGAGAUUCGAAUUGAAGCCCCGGUGAACGGCGGCCGUAACUAUAACGGUCCUAAGGUAGCGAAAUUCCUUGUCGGGUAAGUUCCGACCUGCACGAAUGGUGUAAUGAU
rnacentral:rRNA from 1 species